AGAGUCUGGCCCGGCCCACAGCCCUGCAGAAGGUGCCCAUUUAAAGAGGACACCUAGUGGUCUCAGAACCACCCACCAUCCCUCCUCAGGCUUCCACGUGCCUCCCUAGGUCUGUGGGCUGGACGACAGAUAAACAGCCCUAAGAUGAUGCCCUUGCGUUGGGGCUGGGGAAAAAAAGGGCAGGUUCAAAAGAGGAUCAUCUGGAAACUGGGGACCUGUGUGUGUGACUGUCUCCUAUGAGAAUACUCCGCCACAGACGUCUAUACAGGUGAGCAAGAAGAAGGUUUCUCCAGUUCUAGGUUCGGGAGCACCCAAAGUCCAAGUGUGUCCGCACCUGUGGGGGAAUCUAGCCCACAGCAUGACCCUGAACACCACCUGGGGACAGCAGGGUCACGAAAAGGACAAAGCAAACCUUCAAAGGUGGCUUCCUUUCCAGAGAGGGACUAUUUCACUCACAGAGACAGGAAGACUGCUUCUUGGGCAUGUCUUUUACUUACUCCUGUUCUCAGCUUGGCAUCUUCCCAGACACACAGAAUCCCUUCCUAUGACGGCAGUGUGGUUGUCCUUUUGCUUUGGUUCCCAGCUACUGAGGAGGAUUUAAAACUAUGUAAGUUCCUCUAGGCUGGAGUUGGGGGUGAGGGGGGGGGGGGGGCUUCUCCAGUGGUGUUACCUCCCUCAAAUGUUCAGAGACACAAAAAUGGAAGGUUAGGGGCGCAGAACACAUUGCUUUUCCUUCAGCUAACUAGGGAAGACACUCCAAUAGUGUAAAUAGGAAAAAUAAAAAUGAAAGAGGGAAGCUGGAACUAAUUGGGCUGGGGAACAAACACGAGCUCAGGGGGAAAUGGCCACAGGCACCAGAAAUUGUAUGAUCGUGGGAUGGGGAGAGGUAUGGAGAGGAAGCAGGGAGUAGGGACCAGGAACUGUUGAUUCCCUAGAAAUCUUCCCAGCACCUGUGGCAAGUGUGAGGCAGAAACAGGGCAGAAGGGAGAGAGAGGGAAAGAGCUCACUCCUGUGGCCCAUAGAAAUGACUUUUGAGUUAAUAUUCACUGUGACAUUUCAGAGCAAAGACAGUAUUGAAGUAAAACAAAGACCCCUGAGCAGCCAGUCACCACCCAGGAAGAAAAAUGGGGCAAUAUGUUCCCAGGCCUGAUAGAACCUUAGGCAGGUGGGUACCUCACUGCAUGCCCCCCCCCCACACACACACCACCCCGAGGUAAUGGCUUCUCUGCAGGAAGGAGAGGGAAGGUUUCUUCUAGGGUCAGGUAAGACCCUCUUCUUCAAAAGGCACCUUUGGAGGUUGGGGAGUGGGGAACUCCUAAGUCCUCUGUCAGCAAUGGGGAAGACAGGCAGAUCCCAGUGGGCUCCUCUUCGAAGGAAAACAGCUAUUUCUGUCCUACCUGUUCUCUCCCAGUUUUCAGAAGCUCCCCGCUUCCCACAAUUGAAUUUUGUUAGAACCAGGAGCUGAAAUCAUUAAUGUGCUACUUAUCUUUCACCAUCAGGAUCGUCAUCAAUCCUGAGGUAGCUUUUGCCUUUUAUUUCUUAAUCUGCUUGUAUUUUAUCUCACAUUUUUGUGCCGGGAGCCAUAGGGAGAAAAUUCCAGGCCCUGCUAUGUCAGUCUGAAGUUCAGCUUUCUUGGAAAGAGAGGCAUCAGCCCGAGAUACGCUGGGGCCUUUACCCUUCCAGGAAUGAGCCAGGCACCUCCUCACGCAGGGCUAGGUGCUGGGGGUCACUGUGCAUGGCCCGUUUUCACCUCCCAUCCACAUUCCAAUUUUCAUUCUGUGUAAAGACUUUGGGCCUGAUGCGGGGGCACAAAAGUGAUUCAUCUUUCUCCUAGCUCUGCCUUUAUAACAAAAAUUAAAGGCCUCCCAUGACCACAUUCGCUCAUGCUCAGCCCAGGAGAGCUCUUACGUCAGCUAGUGAGCGGAGCCUUAUCUGCACCCAGAAAACCAGCAGCUCCCGGGCCCUCCUGCGUUCUUUCCAGGUCUCCAGCCUCCCCUCGCCCACAGCACCCAGACCUAACAGCAGUUUCCACAACAGAGCAAGGUCCUAUCUCCAUAACACCAGACAAUGCCAGUUGUGUCAGACAAACCACCGGCUGAGAAGGAAGGAAGGGAAGCAACAAGAAAAUCAUGUGCCACUUGCUGGCUGAGGUUACUUACCAGGGCUGCCCUCGAACACAGGGAGACAUGGCCCAAGCAAAAAGAGAAGACCACCAGAGGUGAACAGAAAACCUUUUUACAUCUCUUUUACCAUAUUCUUGUUAAGGAAGCUCUAUACCCAACAAGGAGUUUGAACCCCAAGAUUAAGAGUCAUGUGCUCUACGAACUGACCCAGCCAGGCACCCCUCACAGAAAACUUCUAAGCACAGGAAGGCCAAAUGUUGGCAGAUGAGGAAAUAAAAAGGAGAAACUCUUCCGUGGAAUGUUUCUGGACCAGUCCUCAGCUACCUUUCUUAAAAGCCAGUAAAACUGCUCCUUUAGACUCUUCCUGAGCCGUCAGCAUUUUGAAGAACACAAAUUAUCACUCCUGUAUGUGUGUGAGUCCACACUCUGCAUCCAGAGGCAUUUGGGAGCACCCUGUCGAUGGCUGACAAUGGUUACUCCUAGAGGUGGGAUUACAGGACUUUGGAUGGAGAUCAGUGAAUAAAGAGGCAC